AUUGAACGCUGGCGGCAGGCCUAACACAUGCAAGUCGAACGAGUGGCGGACGGGUGUGUAAUGUCUGGAACACUGCCUGAUGGAGGGGGAUAACUACUGGAAACGGUAGCUAAUACCGCAUACCAUCGGAUGUGCACAGAUGGGAUUAGCUAGUAUGUUGGGUAAAGGCUCACCUACGCGACGCUCCCUAGCUGGUCUGAGAGGAUGACCAGCCACACGGGAACUGAGACACGGUCCAGACUCCUACGGGAGGCAGCAGUGGGGAAUAUUGCACAAUGGGGGCAAGCCUGAUGCAGCCAUGCCGCGUGUAUGAAGAAGGCCUUCGGGUUGUAAAGUACUUUCAGCGGGGAGGCGUUACCCGCAGAAGAAGCACCGGCUAACUCCGUGCCAGCAGCCGCGGUAAUUC
rnacentral:rRNA from 1 species